GUGAGGAAUAUUGGUCAAUGGGCGGGAGCCUGAACCAGCCAAGUCGCGUGAAGGAAGAAGGAUCUAUGGUUCGUAAACUUCUUUUGCAGGGGAAUAAAGUGCAGGACGUGUCCUGUUUUGUAUGUACCCUGAGAAUAAGGAUCGGCUAACUCCGUGCCAGCAGCUGCGGUAAUACGGAGGAUCCGAGCGUUAUCCGGAUUUAUUGGGUUUAAAGGGUGCGUAGGUGGUUUGAUAAGUCAGCGGUGAAAGUUUGCAGCUUAACUGUAAAAAUGCCGUUGAAACUGUCGGACUUGAGUGUAAAUGAGGUAGGCGGAAUGCGUGGUGUAGCGGUGAAAUGCAUAGAUAUCACGCAGAACUCCGAUUGCGAAGGCAGCUUACUAAGCUACAACUGACACUGAAGCACGAAAGCGUGGGGAUCAAACAGGAUUAGAUACCCGAGUAGUCC
rnacentral:rRNA from 1 species